UAGGGAAUCUUCCACAAUGGACGCAAGUCUGAUGGAGCAACGCCGCGUGAGUGAAGAAGGUUUUCGGAUCGUAAAGCUCUGUUGUUGGUGAAGAAGGAUAGAGGUAGUAACUGGCCUUUAUUUGACGGUAAUCAACCAGAAAGUCACGGCUAACUACGUGCCAGCAGCCGCGGUAAUACGUAGGUGGCAAGCGUUGUCCGGAUUUAUUGGGCGUAAAGCGAGCGCAGGCGGAAGAAUAAGUCUGAUGUGAAAGCCCUCGGCUUAACCGAGGAACUGCAUCGGAAACUGUUUUUCUUGAGUGCAGAAGAGGAGAGUGGAAUUCCAUGUGUAGCGGAGGAAUGCGUAGAUAUAUGGAAGAACACCAGUGGCGAAGGCGACUCUCUGGUCUGCAACUGACGCUGAGGCUCGAAAGCAUGGGUAGCGAACAGG
rnacentral:rRNA from 1 species